AUGAGCUCGGCGUUGGGUAUUGCACGCGUGGGUGACCCUCCCGUGGCUACCUUGCUUGUCGAUCCGGCGGCCUCAACCACGACGCAUGCCUCGUCCACGAUCGUCCCUGACGUCUCCUCCAACACCAAGGCCCAGGAGGUCCUCGAGGUCGUCCAUGACGCGCCCCCUGCCUCCAUCGCGAUGGCGCACGUCAGCUGUUCGACGGAUGGCUCGAACGAAGUUGUCGCCUUCAACAUCAUCAACAAGGUCACCACUGCUAUCUUCCCCGAGCUUUCCGUCCUCCCGAACGACAAGGAGGUCGAGCAGUUGCCUUCGUACGCGGUCAGUGAGGAGGACGCCGCUCCUGUGGCGAUCACAGCUAAUGCUCUUGCCCAACUGGGUUCUCCUGGGACGACAGUGGCGUACGAUAGCGUCGUCAUCAGUGAUGCCAACAACUGUGCUACACCUGUGCCGACCAUGUGUUCGACGGAAUUCUCGAGUCGAGAUAUCAUUGUGGCGAUGUCUGCGCUUGCCACAGCUGCGACACCUGAAUUGUCCUCGACCAUUGUCGACUUUGUCCCUGAGCUCACUUCCUGUGAUGCAGACGUUGAGGCCUUUCACAUUGGUGCCAAUGGUGUCGAUGCAAUGGCACCCACCAGAGACUUGACUGACUGCCUCGGCGACAACCUCAAUCAGGGGAGUGAGGUUUUACCCAUGUCCUACUGUGUAUUUGGUAGCUCUCACGGAGGAGAGUGUUGGAAGCAUCCAUGGCCACCACCUCAGGUUAUGUCACUGACGGGGAUCUACGAUACUGCACCGAUUCCUAUGGAGCAACAGUUAUGUUCCCAGUUACUUUUUCAUAGUGAUCAGAGUGGUGGCUCUAGCGGUAUGACUUGGGAUCCAGGAGUGUUACUGAAUUGCACUCGAUUAUCACACAAGGCGAACGAUGAGCUUUUUGGGUACAGAAAUGCAUCUAUUCAGAGUUUGCUUCGUCAACUAAUAGUGGAUUUGACUGGAAUUAAAAUUGACACGACUUCUCCAAAAAUUCAUGGUCCUGCUUCACAGUCAACUGAUACAGUUGUGGCUGAUGUUCUUAAUGAUCAUGAAGAGCAACACGUUUCUCGGGACAGGACAGUUCUUACUGCUAGUAGUGGUUCACAAUGGCAUGUUAUGUGUAUCAUUAUGGAGUUCGGUCAGUGCUUCUCUCGGAUUGGACAAAUUGAGUGGUUGUUUCCUAUUUGUCUGAAGAUGAUGACGCGGUGCUUGGUUUUACUAUCUCCUGCCGACAUUGAGUAUGAGCUGUGGCGUCGACCAGAUCAAACUGAAAAUUGUGGUGUGCUUGUGAAGUUCAGAAUAUUGCAUAUUUUCUAG
rnacentral:rRNA from 1 species